rnacentral:rRNA from 1 species
ACUUAGUGGCGGACGGGUGGAGUAACGACGUGGGAAACCGUAGCCCUACUACUGGGGGAGUAGCAGUUGGAAGCGACUGAUAAUACCGCAUAAGCGCACAGCUUCGCAUGAAGUAGUGUGAAAAACUCCGGUGGUAUAGGAUGGUCCCGCGUCUGAUUAGCUAGUUGGCGAGGUAACGGCCCACCAAGGCGACGAUCAGUAGCCGGCCUGAGAGGGUGUACGGCCACAUUGGGACUGAGACACGGCCCAAACUCCUACGGGAGGCAGCAGUGGGGAAUAUUGGACAAUGGGGGAAACCCUGAUCCCAGCGACGCCGCGUGAACGAAGAAGUAUUUCGGUAUGUAAAGUUCUAUCAGCAGGGAAGAUAAUGACGGUACCUGACUAAGAAGCACCGGCUAAAUACGUGCCAGCAGCGGC